CCACGUGCGUUUUCAAACAGCGGGACUAACGGACGGACGACUUCAGAGCUACUUCGAAUUUCAGUGGUAAGUUUACAAAAUAUAUCCCUCAUGGAGUCUGACCGGGACUGGUAUCUCCCAACAUUCUCUGAAGCUUAGGUCCACUAAGAUGUCCCGUUGAUUGAAGCUGACAUGGAGUCACAGUGACAUCCUUAAAAACUGUUGUCAUGUAUAAUACAUCUCUGCAUCUUAAAGUAUUUCUCUGCAUCUUUAAAUAUUUGUUUUUUUAUUUUUUGUCUAUGUUUAAGAUUUAAGUGUUUAAGCUGUUUUCAUGAA